UUUACCUGUGUGACUGCGUACCUUUUGUAUAAUGGGUCAGCGACUUAUAUUCUGUAGCAAGGUUAACCGAAUAGGGGAGCCGGAGGGAAACCGAGUCUUAAUUGGGCGUUAAGUUGCAGGGUAUAGACCCGAAACCCGGUGAUCUAGCCAUGGGCAGGUUGAAGGUUGGGUAACACUAACUGGAGGACCGAACCGACUAAUGUUGAAAAAUUAGCGGAUGACCUGUGGCUGGGGGUGAAAGGCCAAUCAAACCGGGAGAUAGCUGGUUCUCCCCGAAAGCUAUUUAGGUAGCGCCUCGUGAAUUCAUCUCCGGGGGUAGAGCACUGUUUCGGCUAGGGGGCCAUCCCGGCUUACCAACCCGAUGCAAACUGCGAAUACCGGAGAAUGUUAUCACGGGAGACACACGGCGGGUGCUAACGUCCGUCGUGAAGAGGGAAACAACCCAGACCGCCAGCUAAGGUCCCAAAGUCAUGGUUAAGUGGGAAACGAUGUGGGAAGGCCCAGACAGCCAGGAUGUUGGCUUAGAAGCAGCCAUCAUUUAAAGAAAGCGUAAUAGCUCACUGGUCGAGUCGGCCUGCGCGGAAGAUGUAACGGGGCUAAACCAUGCACCGAAGCUGCGGCAGCGACACUGUGUGUUGUUGGGUAGGGGAGCGUUCUGUAAGCCUGUGAAGGUGUGUCGUGAGGCAUGCUGGAGGUAUCAGAAGUGCGAAUGCUGACAUAAGUAACGAUAAAGCGGGUGAAAAGCCCGCUCGCCGGAAGACCAAGGGUUCCUGUCCAACGUUAAUCGGGGCAGGGUGAGUCGACCCCUAAGGCGAGGCCGAAAGGCGUAGUCGAUGGGAAACGGGUUAAUAUUCCCGUACUUGGUGUUACUGCGAAGGGGGGACGGAGAAGGCUAUGUUGGCCGGGCGACGGUUGUCCCGGUUUAAGCGUGUAGGUGUGUGUUCCAGGUAAAUCCGGUUCACUUUAACACUGAGGCGUGACGACGAGGCACUACGGUGCUGAAGCAACAAAUGCCCUGCUUCCAGGAAAAGCCUCUAAGCAUCAGGUAACAUCAAAUCGUACCCCAAACCGACACAGGUGGUCAGGUAGAGAAUACCAAGGCGCUUGAGAGAACUCGGGUGAAGGAACUAGGCAAAAUGGUGCCGUAACUUCGGGAGAAGGCACGCUGACACGUAGGUGAAGUGAUUUACUCAUGGAGCUGAAGUCAGUCGAAGAUACCAGCUGGCUGCAACUGUUUAUUAAAAACACAGCACUGUGCAAACACGAAAGUGGACGUAUACGGUGUGACGCCUGCCCGGUGCCGGAAGGUUAAUUGAUGGGGUCAGCGCAAGCGAAGCUCCUGAUCGAAGCCCCGGUAAACGGCGGCCGUAACUAUAACGGUCCUAAGGUAGCGAAAUUCCUUGUCGGGUAAGUUCCGACCUGCACGAAUGGCGUAAUGAUGGCCAGGCUGUCUCCACCCGAGACUCAGUGAAAUUGAACUCGCUGUGAAGAUGCAGUGUACCCGCGGCAAGACGGAAAGACCCCGUGAACCUUUACUAUAGCUUGACACUGAACAUUGAGCCUUGAUGUGUAGGAUAGGUGGGAGGCUUUGAAGUGUGGACGCCAGUCUGCAUGGAGCCGACCUUGAAAUACCACCCUUUAAUGUUUGAUGUUCUAACGUGGACCCGUUACCCGGGUUGCGGACAGUGUCUGGUGGGUAGUUUGACUGGGGCGGUCUCCUCCUAAAGAGUAACGGAGGAGCACGAAGGUUGGCUAAUCCUGGUCGGACAUCAGGAGGUUAGUGCAAUGGCAUAAGCCAGCUUGACUGCGAGCGUGACGGCGCGAGCAGGUGCGAAAGCAGGUCAUAGUGAUCCGGUGGUUCUGAAUGGAAGGGCCAUCGCUCAACGGAUAAAAGGUACUCCGGGGAUAACAGGCUGAUACCGCCCAAGAGUUCAUAUCGACGGCGGUGUUUGGCACCUCGAUGUCGGCUCAUCACAUCCUGGGGCUGAAGUAGGUCCCAAGGGUAUGGCUGUUCGCCAUUUAAAGUGGUACGCGAGCUGGGUUUAGAACGUCGUGAGACAGUUCGGUCCCUAUCUGCCGUGGGCGCUGGAGAACUGAGGGGGGCUGCUCCUAGUACGAGAGGACCGGAGUGGACGCAUCACUGGUGUUCGGGUUGUCAUGCCAAUGGCACUGCCCGGUAGCUAAAUGCGGAAGAGAUAAGUGCUGAAAGCAUCUAAGCACGAAACUUGCCCCGAGAUGAGUUCUCCCUGAGACUUAGAGUCUCCUGAAGGAACGUUGAAGACGACGACGUUGAUAGGCCGGGUGUGUAAGCGCAGCGAUGCGUUGAGCUAACCGGUACUAAUGAACCGUGAGGCUUAACCUUACAACGCCGAAG
rnacentral:rRNA from 1 species